AGUGGCCUUGCUGCCACGAUCCA
rnacentral:snRNA from 1 species